rnacentral:rRNA from 1 species
GUGGGGAAUAUUGUGCAAUGGGGGAAACCCUGACACAGCGACGCCGCGUGAGUGAAGAAGGCCUUCGGGUCGUAAAGCUCAAUAGUAUGGGAAGAAAGAAAUGACGGUACCAUACGAAAGCCCCGGCUAACUACGUGCCAGCAGCCGCGGUAAUACGUAGGGGGCGAGCGUUGUCCGGAAUUACUGGGCGUAAAGAGCACGUAGGCGGCUAUAAAAGUCAGAUGUGAAAAACCUGGGCUCAACCGAGGGUAUGCAUCUGAAACUAAAUAGCUUGAGUCAAGGAGAGGAGAGCGGAAUUCCUGGUGUAGCGGUGAAAUGCGUAGAGAUCAGGAAGAAUACCAGUGGCGAAAGCGGCUCUCUGGACUUGAACUGACGCUGAGGUGCGAAAGCGUGGGGAGCAAACAGGAUUAGAAACCCUUGUAGUCC